rnacentral:rRNA from 1 species
GUAGGUGGCAAGCGUUGUCCGGAAUUAUUGGGCGUAAAGCGCGCGCAGGCGGUUCUUUAAGUCUGAUGUGAAAGCCCACGGCUCAACCGUGGAGGGUCAUUGGAAACUGGAGAGCUUGAGUACAGAAGAGGAAAGCGGAAUUCCACGUGUAGCGGUGAAAUGCGUAGAGAUGUGGAGGAACACCAGUGGCGAAGGCGGCUUUCUGGUCUGUAACUGACGCUGAGGCGCGAAAGCGCGGGGGAGCAAACAGGAUUAGAUACCCUGGUAGUCCACGCCGUAAACGAUGAGUGCUAAGUGUUAGGGGGUUUCCGCCCCUUAGUGCUGCAGCUAACGCAUUAAGCACUCCGCCUGGGAGUACGGCCGCAAGGCUG